rnacentral:ncRNA from 1 species
GUAAGGUGUCAGACCAUAUGCGUCUGGUGAAAAGGGAAGCGGGUGCAAAUCCUGCGCGAACUCGUCACCGUGAUUCGCAAGCGACGGCUUAUUACCACUGGGAAACCGGGAAGGGAGUCGAAGCGUCAGAGCGUUCAGUCGGGAGACCUGCCUUUCGC